rnacentral:ncRNA from 1 species
AACUGUGUGUGUGUGUGAGUGUGAAGCUCGUAAUGUGACGCGCUACUCUUAUAUUAGGAGUGAGCUGCCAAAUGGCGUCCAACUUGACUUGUGUUGAUUAACAUCAAGACGUGUAUCUUAACGUGUCUCUGAUUGUUGAUUGACGCGCUUACUGUCUAACCGGUACGUCGCUCAUCUCUCUAAAUACUGAGACCCGUUUUGUAGUGUGUGUGUUAUUGUGUGUGUGAUUCUGCUGUACGGCCAAGGCGGAUGUACGGUACAGCAGGCAGGUUUACCUUGAAUAAAUCAGAGUGCUCAAUACAAGCGUUUGCUUGAAUAGCUCAUCAUGGAAUAAUGAAAUAGGACUUCGGUUCUUUUUGUUGGUUUUAGAACUGAUUUAAUGGUUAAGAGGGACAAACCGGGGGCAUUCGUAUCAUUACGCGAGAGGUGAAAUUCGUGGACCGUAGUGAGACGCCCAACAGCGAAAGCAUUUGCCAAGAAUGUCUUCAUUAAUCAAGAACGAAAGUCAGAGGUUCGAAGGCGAUUAGAUACCGCCCUAGUUCUGACCGUAAACGAUGCCAUCUCGCGAUUCGGAGGGUUUUUGCCCUGCCGAGGAGCUAUCCGGAAACGAAAGUCUUUCGGUUCCGGGGGUAGUAUGGUUGCAAAGCUGAAACUUAAAGAAAUUGACGGAAGGGCACCACAAG